rnacentral:rRNA from 1 species
CCCUGGGUUAGUCGGGACCUAAGCUGAGGCCGAAAGGCGUAGGUGAUGGACAACAGGUUGAUAUUCCUGUACUACCGAUAACCAUUUGAGAGAAGGGAUGACACAGUAGGAUAAGCUAAGCACACUGGUGGUUAUGUGUGCCCAAGCAUUGAGGCAGUCAAAGUAGGCAAAUCCGCGUUGAUACUGCAGGGAUGUGAUGGGGAGCGAAAUUUAGUAG